UACGUAGGGGGCUAGCGUUGUCCGGAAUCAUUGGGCGUAAAGCGCGUGUAGGCGGUCCGGUAAGUCCGCUGUGAAAGUCGGGGGCUCAACCCUCGAAUGCCGGUGGAAACUGUCGGGCUAGAGUACGGAAGAGGCGAGUGGAAUUCCUGGUGUAGCGGUGAAAUGCGCAGAUAUCAGGAGGAACACCAAUUGCGAAGGCAGCUCGCUGGGACGUUACUGACGCUGAGACGCGAAAGCGUGGGGAGCGAACAGG
rnacentral:rRNA from 1 species